rnacentral:misc_RNA from 1 species
CUCACCUAAGAAACCAUGGCUGGUCACUUGACCAAACAGUUCAACCUUUAACCAGUCCACUGUUUUCUAUUAAAAAAUAAAAAAUUGGAACUGUAGAAUACGUUGGCUACAAUUUAAACAAUGAAAGUUCUUGCUAAAACUCACACUAGCGCUGAAGUUGUGAACGGCGAAAAAAACACACAACUAAAGUGCGUGACGAACCAAAUAAAGAGCCUAGAAACCGAAUGUUAAAAAUCCAACCCAGUCAACAUCCCAUUUGAAGAAGGGAGAGAGCCUAGUUCGAUUAGAUUGAAUAAAUUAAGUUCAAAGUAGAAACAGAACCCUUAGAUUGAUAUAGCUACUGACGAGGUCGAGAACGG